rnacentral:rRNA from 1 species
UACGUAGGUGGCAAGCGUUGUCCGGAUUUAUUGGGGUUAAAGGGUGCGUAGGCGGCCCUGUAAGUCAGUUGUGAAAUACGGCGGCUUAACUGUCGAGGUGCAAUUGAUACUGCAGGGCUUGAGUACUGAUGAGGUAGGCGGAAUGGACGGUGUAGCGGUGAAAUGCUUAGAGAUCGUCCAGAACACCGAUAGCGAAGGCAGCUUACUAAGGAGUAACUGACGCUGAGGCACGAAAGUGUGGGGAUCAAACAGG